GCGGAUAUAGUUGAAUGGUAAAAUUUCUCUUUGCCAAGGAGAA
rnacentral:tRNA from 2 species